GUCUUGCCAAAAUUCAGAUUUCCUUACGCCUAGAUGCAUUUACCAAAAUAUGGGCAAUUCACCUCUCCCACGUAGAAAUUUUCCAGGGAAAUGGGUUCAACAUAUUUAAAUCCCAAUAACUGGGGUCUUUAAUAAUAGUUUCAACACAAGAAGGCCUAAGAGUUCCUUCAGAGUUAGUUUUCAGGUUGAUUUGAUCUUUCCUAAAGCAUACACCCACAAGCUGUGCCUGCACCUGGUUUUCUUCCUCCUGUUUGUGACCGUGGCUCAUUCCGACCUCUUCUACGCAAGGAGCAUCUCCCCGUGCUGAAUGCAGCCUUUCUGAACAUCGAGAUAUUUCUGAGAAGGAAACCCUCGGCAGCCUCCUUUAGCACCCAUGCAGAGCUUAAAGGAGGAGAGUUGUGGGGUGGAUUUGCAACAGACCCUGGCAGCAGUACUCUGAAUUUCCUUUGCACUGGCUGAUGUGGAGCUGCAGUGGGGACCUCAGCUGCGGGGGACGUGCCCACCUUUAAUGUCUGUUUUCAUGGUCCAUAUUAUCUCCUGCAUGGAUGGCUCCAUCCUCACCUGGGUUACACCCUGGCUUGUACGCCAUAGGGGAUGCCCACACUUACACACAGCACAUGAAUCGGUUCAAGGAAGCUCCGAGUUCAGCUGCUCCUGUUUCAGGCCAGAAGACUGCAAACCUGGUGUUUUUGAUAUAAAGGGGUUGAUUUCUCUGAUCUGAUGAAGACGCAGUUCUUCAGUACAGCAGACUGAAACACAUUGCAGCCGUCCCCAGGCAGAAGUUUUCAGACUGAACACAGAGCACAUUACCAGCACCGGUACGUGUAGCGUGCACCAACAAGCACACUUGACGGAUGCGGCUUGGGGCCGUUUGCACUGCUGCAGGGGUUGCGGCGUGCUGCAGAGCAGAGGGGCUCAGCUGCAAAGCUUGCUGUGCCCGGCGGCACCAGCUUCACGCUGCAAUGGGAAGCCACUCGACACCACCCGCUGCGGCUAUUUGGAACUGAGGUCCAUAUUCCUACAUCUUCUUAUGUAUAUGUACGCAUAUAUAAAUGGGAAUCAUUCCUCUGUUAAACCUAAGCAAACAAUUUCUUUCCUCCUGCAAAGAAUUAGUGUCCUAGCAGAUCCUGUAAUAAAUUAAUCUUCUUUAUCAUCCAGUUAAUUGGUUCCACAAAACCAGUGAGCAGUGAAAUCUUCUGACCUAUUGAUUGAUGUAUAAUGUUGUAUUAGUAGAUAGCGAAUUACAAGAGCUGCUGUGCGCUUUGGUACUGCUGCUGAA